rnacentral:rRNA from 1 species
GACGAACGCUGGCGGCGUGCUUAACACAUGCAAGUCGAACGGAAAGGCCCUGCUUUUGUGGGGUGCUCGAGUGGCGAACGGGUGAGUAACACGUGAGUAACCUGCCCUUGACUUUGGGAUAACUUCAGGAAACUUGGGCUAAUACCGGAUAGGAGCUCCUGCUUCAUGGUGGGGGUUGGAAAGUUUCGGCGGUUGGGGAUGGACUCGCGGCUUAUCAGCUUGUUGGUGGGGUAGUGGCUUACCAAGGCUUUGACGGGUAGCCGGCCUGAGAGGGUGACCGGCCACAUUGGGACUGAGAUACGGCCCAGACUCCUACGGGAGGCAGAAGUGGGGAAUAUUGCACAAUGGGCGGAAGCCUGAUGCAGCAAAGCCGCGUGCGGGAUGACGGCCUUCGGGUUGUAAACCGCUUUCGCCUGUGACGAAGCGUGAGUGACGGUAAUGGGUAAAGAAGCACCGGCUAACUACGUG